rnacentral:rRNA from 1 species
UACGUAGGUCCCGAGCGUUGUCCGGAUUUAUUGGGCGUAAAGCGAGCGCAGGUGGUUUAUUAAGUCUGGUGUAAAAGGCAGUGGCCCAACCAUUGUAUGCAUUGGAAACUGGUAGACUUGAGUGCAGGAGAGGAGAGUGGAAUUCCAUGUGUAGCGGUGAAAUACGUAGAUAUAUGGAGGAACACCGGUGGCGAAAGCGGCUCUCUGGCCUGUAACUGACACUGAGGCUCGAAAGCGUGGGGAGCAAACAGG